rnacentral:lncRNA from 1 species
ACGGCCCCGACAAAGGAGGCCUCGCAAAAGCGGUGGCCAAAGAAAAAGACGCCGACGAGUCGCGCUCCGACAAAGGAGCACCUGUCGAGCGCCACGCGCAGGACCCCGUGCGAGUCGAGGUGCGCAUCCGGUCGGACGGCCGCGUCGGUUGCGGGGCUUGUGCGCGCGCCGCCAAGAAGAUGGCGCUCGUGCUCGCCCAGCGUCGGAUCGUCAAAAGGCGCAGAGGGCCGAUCCCCGUGCCAUUCGCCGCGCAGGUUCCACGCCGGGUCGUGCAACUCGACGUGGCGUAGUGCGAUGAGGUCAAAGCCGCGCACGGCUCCGUCAUCAUCGUCAUUAUCACCGUCGUCGUCUUCAUCUUUGCCGUCGCCAUGUCUAGUGGGGUCGUCGGCGGCAUUGCCGCGCGAUUGCCAAGCAGAGAUGGCAUGGGCCGCGAUCGUCGCAAUGCCGCGCGGCGGCAAGGCCAGAAUCGCGCGCGCGGUGCGGAGCAGUUGCAGACGCACGAGAUCGCUGGCGGCUCUGUCGGCCACGCGCCGGGUUUUCGGCGUGCGAGAGAUGGCCGUCGAGGAAAUGGCGUGGGCCGCGACCGUCUGCAAGAGGUCCGAGGGGAUCGGCGCCAUCCAUGGCUUCCACAUGAUUCGCAGCGCGUUGCCCACCACCGUCUCGCCCGUCUCGGGAUCGCACGGCCAGUUGCGGGUGGCUUCCGCCCAUCGCACCAGAGCGCGGCUUUCGUAGAGACGCCCAGUGGUGAAAAAGGCGCAGCGUCUGGCCUCGACGCGGCGCCCCGUGAGAAAGCACCGCACCCAGUGCUGGCCGCCGUCGCCUCUCUGGUCGACGACAACGCCAAAAGGCUCGUCGUCGCACGGACGAUACUCUUGAAGAGAGUCGGCGUGGUCCGCCUCCUUUAGGGGGCCAACUUUGGCGAGCGCUCUGGUGACGGUCUCGGGGUUGGCGCGGUCCAGUGCGACCAGGCAGUCGAGCGAUGGCUCCGUAGCGUCGGCCAGAUCCAAGAGCGCGCGAAUGCGCGGGCCGUCGCCGAGGACGCGCAACCCGGCGAUGCGCCGAUCGGCGUGACCGUGGGAUACGGCGAGGAAAAAGGGUUCUGAUCCCAUCCACACGAGGACAUGGCCGGCGUGGCAUGCGCGCGCGAUGGCGGCCCGUGGCGGCCAGCCUGCCGCCAUGACAAACAAGCCGUCGCCCGGAUCCAGCGCCGCGCGCUCUGGCCCGUCACGCAGACGCCCGAUACCGUGAUGCACAGAGAGGGUCACGCGCGUGGCGUCGCCAUUGUCCUCGGCGUCGUCACUCACAAUGUCGUAGGCGGUCCGUGUCACGAGCGCUCGGUUGUCGGCGGGCCGUUGGGCGCCCCAGUGCGCAUCACGGUCGCCGUCACAGGGCACGCGGCACCAGUAUUCGUGGAUCGCCCCGUCGGGUAGGCGUAGCGCGCCGCGCGCGCCCGGUGCCCCGUCAUCGCACUGGCCCGAGUAGACGCAUCCAGGCACGGCCACGUCGUUGGACACGCAUCGGCCGGUGAGCGCGCGUCCGCCCAGGACACGCAUCUUGCCGACGGUAUCGUCGCCCCGUGCGGCGGCUUCCCCCGGACCCGUCACGGUGCCGCGGUGAACGCGCGUCGCCGCGAGACCAGAUGCAUAGGCAGACGCACCGAUCCAUUGGAUCGUGAGCACGCCGGUAAAUUGACCGGCGACGCAUUGGCCCUGGACCGUGCACAGGGUGUCGGCGUCGUCGCCCUUGGUCACGAUGGCGCCGUAACCGUCGAGGGAAAGCGUGGCGGCGCCCUGGCCGUCGCCGGGCACGACGCUAAAUUCGCCCGACUGACGGUUGACACCGUCGGCAGCGACGAGGCGGCCGGUGAGCCUGCCCGUUGGGCCCUCGCGCAGGCGGCCAGGCGCAGCGCGCAUGAGGCCAUAGAGCCAGCGUAUGUCCUUGCCGUGGCCGUCGUGGUCGGCGUGCUCGGCGGGCGGACCCCCGUGGGCAAUGUCGCGGCGGUAGGCCGCUUCCCACAGGCGGCUGUCGCGGGCGACAGCCUCGAUGGCGCGGCACGUGCACGCGACCGCUGCCAGCACCCAACCGGGCAGCCACGACAUGAUCUCAAACAGCACAUCGACGGGGAGGCCGUCGAGAGUCGGCUGGAGGACCUCGCCGUCACCGCCGCCACGGACUGGUGCUGCAUGAGUGACUGCCGAUGCGCUCGCCGGCGGGGCGGCCGCCGUUUUUCGCCUCUUGGCUGGCGGACCCUGCGUCGUGGUCGUCGCGUCGCCUCGGUCCGUGUCCUCUCUGUCUGUGUCUCUCUUUUGGACCCUCUUCAUUGGCGACAACGACAGAAAAAACCUUGACGGGCUGUUGGGUAUGUGUCUCUCUUUUUGUUGUUGUUGUCGUUGUUGUGACAACAACAUUUUUGGAUUCUUUUUAUUCUUUUCGGUCAUGGGACCGCGGUGGCGUCCGGACCAAUCGCCCGACACCUAUUUUGUCCUAUUGCGCCCAAACACGCCAACAUUAUUGCCG